rnacentral:tRNA from 1 species
GCCUUCGUGGUGUAAUGGUCAGCACGCUUUGCGCGAAUUCGAGAGGUCGUGGUUCGAAUCCUGGCGAGGACA